AGGCAUAGUGGGGUUCUCUGAGCUGCCUCUCCAGUGCAUAGUUGAGGACCUUACUUGUAAAUUGUUAUCUGGUGACGACACUGAACUUAAUUCUCCAAGUGAACUUCAAAACAUUGGACAUGCAGUGAGGCCACCUCUUACCCCAAAGAAAUCUUUGGCUGCUGCAGCUAGCUGCUCUCGUGGCUGUGAUGUAGUGUAGCUUGUAUCUCAUUUUGUGUUUGAGAGAAUGCUCUGGGCAAGUUCUGCUUGUGGGCUGGGGUUGGUAGAGGAACUUCCCACACACUUCCCUGUGUGAUUGCUGUUCUGAUUAUCGACUCGUGGGACUUGGUGCAGCAGGCAGGCAGCAGGCCUCACACAGUUGCAUCUAAGCGUGCUGAUCACCUCGGAUCUCUCUCGCAGCACUGCCACAGGUGCUAGUAGGGCCAAUUGUGUAAAACCUAAACAUCCAAAAUGAUUUUUCUCUUUUAACUAACUUGUUGUUUUUAAAAACACCUUGUCUGUGACAUGAGCUCAGCAUGUCCAGAACAUCAGGAGUAGCGGAGAGGUCUUAAGUAGUUGAACUGGCCUCACCAGCAAGUGGGACGGCACUGGGCAUGCGUGUGGCUUCUUAGCUGGGAGUGGAGCUGCCCCUCGGGCCUUGCUGGUAGUACUUGAGUUUGUUGCCUGUUUCUCAGGAACACAGGAAACACCGUGGAGCCUGUGCAGGCACUGUCGUUCUGGCUUGCUGGCUGGGGCCUCUUGCCAUCUUAGGGUCUGUUUCAUACAGCACAUCCUGACACUGACAGUGGUGCGUGUGCGUGUGUGCAUGUAGAAGGGUUCAUGUUGCUCUUAUUUAUUUACAGGUAUCAGAUACAUUUUAUGUAUUUUUUUCUUCUGGAGCUUCCUAAAAUCUGAUUAACAUCUGCACUGAAAUAUAACCUAUCAUCAAAGGC
rnacentral:lncRNA from 1 species